rnacentral:lncRNA from 14 species
GUCAUGUUGAAAUUGAAUCCUGUGCUUUCAUUUCAAGAGGCAGGCCAGGAAGGCUCUGCUCUUUGAUAGAUUCCCUCAAUGUCUCCAUCAACCAGGAAACCUCUAGUAGGCUGGACAGAGACAUGGCGGCACAGGAGCGCAUAUCCUUAAAAAAUACCACGG